rnacentral:lncRNA from 1 species
UUCCCGCAUUUCCUACCUCAUAUCCCACCCCAGAGCCCCCAAACCCCAAACCACCACCCCCAUCCCGCUCCUGUGUUUUGUAGGGCCUCACACCAGGCCGAGCACUGUCCCCCGCCCCACUCUGAGGUGCCAAAUCCCCUUGGUUUUCCCCCAAACCCCCAUCACAAGACCCCAAAACUGGGGGAACAACAUCCCCCCAUGUCCCCUUAGGGUCACCCCAAGACACGGAGCAGUUCCUCAGUGAUUCCAUCUUAAUUUAAGGGGAAAAAAAUUAAAUACAAAAUUACAAAGACGGGGCUUGGGGGGGAAUUCCCACCAGGAUUUUCCAUGGGAACUCCGCAGAAAAUCCACCCUAAAAACGGGCAGGGGUCACAGCGAGGACCGGGGCACGGGGAGCCCCCGACCCCAAAAUGGCUCCGAGGAUCCACCCUGGCCAGGAGAGGGGUGGAGGACAGCGGGGACCAGGACGUGUCCCCCGUCCUUGGGACUGUGUCCCUGUGUCCCCUGUCCUUGGGAUUAUGUCCCUUGUCCUUGGGAUCGUGUCUCUUGUCUUUAGGAUCGUGUCCCUUGUCUUAAGGAUGGUGUUCCCUGUCCUUGGGAUCGUGUCCCUUGUCCUUGGGAUCGUGUCCCUUGUCUUUAGGAUGGUGUUCCCUGUCCUUGGGAUCAUGUCCCUUGUCCUUGGGAUCAUGUCUCUUGUCUUUAGGAUUGUGUCCCUUGUCCUCGGGAGGUGUCCCCUGUCCCUGGGGUCGUGUUCCCUCUCCUCAGGAUCCAGGAUCGUGUCCCCUCUCCUCGGGGUCCCAUGGCCUCAGGAUCGUGUCCCCUGUCCUUGGGAUUGUGUCCCUUGUCUUUAG